AUUGAACGCUGGCGGCGUGCUUAACACAUGCAAGUCGUGCGUGAAAGGGGCUUCGGCCCUGAGUAAAGCGGCAGACGGGUGAGUAACACGUGGGUAACCUACCCCUUGGCGGGGGAUAACCACUCGAAAGGGUGGCUAAUACCGCAUAAGACCACGUCCCUGCGGGGAUGAGGUAAAAGGCUUCGGCCGCCAUGGGAGGGGCCCGCGGCUGAUUAGCUAGUUGGUGAGGUAACGGCUCACCAAGGCUACGAUCAGUAGCUGGUCUGAGAGGAUGAUCAGCCACACUGGUACUUAGACACGGACCAGACUCCUACGGGAGGCAGCAGUGGGGAAUAUUGCGCAAUGGGCGAAAGCCUGACGCAGCAACGCCGCGUGGGUGAAGAAGGCCUUUGGGUCGUAAAGCCCUGUCAGAUGGGAAGAAACCUGCGCAGGCAGCUGACGGUACCAUCAAAGGAAGCACCGGCUAACUCCGUGCCAGCCGCCGCCGUAAAAC
rnacentral:rRNA from 1 species